rnacentral:rRNA from 1 species
GACGAACGCUGGCGGCGUGCCUAAUACAUGCAAGUCGAACGCAGUGGGGACGGGUGAGUAACACGUGUGUAACCUCCCAUCAGAGGGGAUAACACUUGGAAACAGGUGCUAAACCGAUCCUGAUGGAUGGACCCGCGGUGAAUUAGCUAGUUGGUGAGGUAACGGCUCACCAAGGCCACGAUGCAUAGCCGACCGGAGAGGUGGAUGGUCACAACUGGGACUGAGAAACGGCCCAGAUCCUUACGGGGGGAAGCAGUAGGGAAGUUUCGGCAAGGGACGAAAGUCGGCCCGAGAAAGGCCGCGGGAGGGAAGAAGGUUUGAGGACCUGAAAACUCUGUUGUUAGAGAAGCGGUACCUAACCAGAAAGCCACGGCUAACUACGUGCCAGCAGCCGCGGUAAUAC